GAGUUUGAUCGUGGCUCAGAUUGAACGCUGGCGGCAUGCUUUACACAUGCAAGUCGAACGGCAGCACGGGGUUUACCCUGGUGGCGAGUGGCGAACGGGUGAGGAAUACAUCGGAACGUGUCUAUAAGUGGGGGAUAACGCAUCGAAAGGUGUGCUAAUACCGCAUAAUCUCUCAGGAGAAAAGCAGGGGAUCGCAAGACCUUGCGCUUUAGGAGCGGCCGAUGCCUGAUUAGCUUGUUGGUAAGGUAAAAGCUUACCAAGGCUUCGAUCAGUAGCUGGUCUGAGAGGACGACCAGCCACACUGGGACUGAGACACGGCCUAGACUCCUACGGGGAGGUAGCAGUGGGGAAUUUUGGACAAUGGGGGAAACCCUGAUCCAGCCAUGCCGCGUGAGUGAAGAAGGCCUUCGGGUUGUAAAGCUCUUUCAGUCGGAACGAACGGUUACGAUUAAUACUCGUAAUUAAUGACGGUACCGGCAGAAGAAGCACCGGCUAACUACGUGCCA
rnacentral:rRNA from 1 species